UACAGAGGUCUCAAGCGUUUGUUCGGAUUCAUUGGGCGUAAAGGGUGCGUAGGCGGCGCGGUAAGUCGGGUGUGAAAUCUUGGAGCUUAACUCCGAAACUGCAUUCGAUACUGCCGUGCUUGAGGACUGGAGAGGAGACUGGAAUUUACGGUGUAGCGGUGAAAUGCGUAGAUAUCGUAAGGAAGACCAGUGGCGAAGGCGGGUCUCUGGACAGUUCCUGACGCUGAGGCACGAAGGUCAGGGGAGCAAACGGG
rnacentral:rRNA from 1 species